rnacentral:rRNA from 1 species
UACGGAGGAGGCAAGCGUUAUCCGGAAUUAUUGGGCGUAAAGCGUCCGUAGGUGGCUGACCAAGUCUGAUGUCAAAGGGUUGGGCUUAACCUCAUAAAGGCAGUGGAUACUGGUGAGCUAGAGUGCGGUAGGGGUAAGGGGAAUUCCCAGUGUAGCGGUGAAAUGCGUAGAGAUUGGGAAGAACAUCGGUGGCGAAAGCGCCUUGCUGGGCCUGCACUGACACUGAGGGACGAAAGCGUGGGGAGCGAAAGGG